GGGUUGUGAGGUUAAGCGACCAAGCGUACACGGUGGAUGCCCUGGCAGUCAGAGGCGAUGAAGGACGUGCUAAUCUGCGAAAAGCGCCGGUAAGGUGAUAUGAACCGUUAUAACCGGCGAUGUCCGAAUGGGGAAACCCAGUGUGACUCGUCACACUAUCAUUAACUGAAUCCAUAGGUUAAUGAGGCGAACCGGGGGAACUGAAACAUCUAAGUACCCCGAGGAAAAGAAAUCAACCGAGAUUCCCCCAGUAGCGGCGAGCGAACGGGGAGGAGCCCAGAGCCUGAAUCAGCAUGUGUGUUAGUGGAAGCGUCUGGAAAGGCGCGCGAUACAGGGUGACAGCCCCGUACACAAAAGCGCAUGUGCUGUGAGCUCGAUGAGUAGGGCGGGACACGUGGUAUCCUGUCUGAAUAUGGGGGGACCAUCCUCCAAGGCUAAAUACUCCUGACUGACCGAUAGUGAACCAGUACCGUGAGGGAAAGGCGAAAAGAACCCCGGCGAGGGGAGUGAAACAGAACCUGAAACCGUGUACGUACAAGCAGUGGGAGCAUGAGUUUACUCAUGUGACUGCGUACCUUUUGUAUAAUGGGUCAGCGACUUAUAUUCUGUAGCAAGGUUAACCGAAUAGGGGAGCCGGAGGGAAACCGAGUCUUAAUUGGGCGUUAAGUUGCAGGGUAUAGACCCGAAACCCGGUGAUCUAGCCAUGGGCAGGUUGAAGGUUGGGUAACACUAACUGGAGGACCGAACCGACUAAUGUUGAAAAAUUAGCGGAUGACCUGUGGCUGGGGGUGAAAGGCCAAUCAAACCGGGAGAUAGCUGGUUCUCCCCGAAAGCUAUUUAGGUAGCGCCUCGUGAA
rnacentral:rRNA from 1 species